rnacentral:rRNA from 1 species
UUUAUGGAGAGUUUGAUCCUGGCUCAGGAUGAACGCUGGCGGCGUGCCUAAUACAUGCAAGUCGAGCGAACGGACGAGAAGCUUGCUUCUCUGAUGUUAGCGGCGGACGGGUGAGUAACACGUGGAUAACCUACCUAUAAGACUGGGAUAACUUCGGGAAACCGGAGCUAAUACCGGAUAAUAUUUUGAACCGCAUGGUUCAAAAGUGAAAGACGGUCUUGCUGUCACUUAUAGAUGGAUCCGCGCUGCAUUAGCUAGUUGGUAAGGUAACGGCUUACCAAGGCAACGAUGCAUAGCCGACCUGAGAGGGUGAUCGGCCACACUGGAACUGAGACACGGUCCAGACUCCUACGGGAGGCAGCAGUAGGGAAUCUUCCGCAAUGGGCGAAAGCCUGACGGAGCAACGCCGCGUGAGUGAUGAAGGUCUUCGGAUCGUAAAACUCUGUUAUUAGGGAAGAACAUAUGUGUAAGUAACUGUGCACAUCUUGACGGUACCUAAUCAGAAAGCCACGGCUAACUACGUGCCAGCAGCCGCGGUAAUACGUAGGUGGCAAGCGUUAUCCGGAAUUAUUGGGCGUAAAGCGCGCGUAGGCGGUUUUUUAAGUCUGAUGUGAAAGCCCACGGCUCAACCGUGGAGGGUCAUUGGAAACUGGAAAACUUGAGUGCAGAAGAGGAAAGUGGAAUUCCAUGUGUAGCGGUGAAAUGCGCAGAGAUAUGGAGGAACACCAGUGGCGAAGGCGACUUUCUGGUCUGUAACUGACGCUGAUGUGCGAAAGCGUGGGGAUCAAACAGGAUUAGAUAC